rnacentral:rRNA from 1 species
UACGAAGGGGGCUAGCGUUGCUCGGAAUCACUGGGCGUAAAGCGCACGUAGGCGGCUUUCUAAGUCAGGGGUGAAAUCCUGGAGCUCAACUCCAGAACUGCCUUUGAUACUGGAAAGCUUGAGUUCGGGAGAGGUGAGUGGAACUGCGAGUGUAGAGGUGAAAUUCGUAGAUAUUGGGAAGAACACCGAUGGCGAAGGCAGCCAUCUGGACCGACACUGACGCUGAGGCGCGAAAGCGUGGGGAGCGAACAGG